rnacentral:rRNA from 1 species
GACGAACGCUGGUGGCGUGCUUAACACAUGCAAGUCGAACGGAAAGGCCCUGCUUUUGUGGGGUGCUCGAGUGGCGAACGGGUGAGUAACACGUGAGUAACCUGCCCUUGACUUUGGGAUAACUUCAGGAAACUGGGGCUAAUACCGGAUAGGAGCUCCUGCUGCAUGGUGGGGGUUGGAAAGUUUCGGCGGUUGGGGAUGGACUCGCGGCUUAUCAGCUUGUUGGUGGGGUAGUGGCUUACCAAGGCUUUGACGGGUAGCCGGCCUGAGAGGGUGACCGGCCACAUUGGGACGGAGAUACGGCCCAGACUCCUACGGGAGGCAGCAGUGGGGAAUAUUGCACAAUGGGCGGAAGCCUGAUGCAGCAACGCCGCGUGCGGGAUGACGGCCUUCGGGUGGUAAACCGCUUUCGCCUGUGACGAAGCGUGAGUGACGGGAAUGGGUAAAGAAGCACCGGCUAACUACGU